AAGAAGGAAGAACACCUUGGUAGACAGAGAAUCCUGUUUGAACUUCCGGGAAUAAUUCGCGGUCACUGCUGGAUAAAAAGCACUCUGUGAGAAGGAAAAGCGUUGGGUUGAACAUGCCAGGUGGAGAGUCAUAGGUGGUUUCAGUAGGGUGUGGAACAUGAUGCAGACCAUAUGGAAUGAGGAAUGAGUGGGAGAUGAGGAAGUAGAGAAAAUACAUGAAGACUGCUGCUCCAAGAAGCCAGGACAUAAAUAGUACGUGAGACACAAGGACCGCACCAUUGAUUUGGACCGGACAGUGUUUCUGUUCAACUUCCUGCUCUAAUCUACUUCCUUCCUGAAAUGUUCACAUCUCAGUUUCCUGUAGAAACAGCAGGGAAUUGUUCCUGCUUGUUAAACAAGUCAUGUUGCCAUCCUGCUGCCCCCACCCCGACCACACAGCCUCAGUUUGGGAAACAUCAGAAAGGAGGGCUGAGGGACUGCUGGCAUUCCAGAAGGCAAGGUCAGUCUCCCAUGAAACAGUUUCCUUUUUAACUCUACCUUUAGGUUCUCCACUGUGAUGAGCGUUGUUACCACCCUGGUCCAUGGGACUUUCCCCAUUAGUAAUCCACACCAAGUGUAAACAAAACACACAGCAAGAUAAAAGGUAGUCUU